rnacentral:rRNA from 1 species
GAAUUUAGCAGAGAUGCUUUAGUGCCUUCGGGAACUCUGAGACAGGUGCUGCAUGGCUGUCGUCAGCUCGUGUUGUGAAAUGUUGGGUUAAGUCCCGNAACGAGCGCAACCCUUAUCCUUUGUUGCCAGCACGUAAUGGUGGGAACUCAAAGGAGACUGCCGGUGAUAAACCGGAGGAAGGUGGGGAUGACGUCAAGUCAUCAUGGCCCUUACGAGUAGGGCUACACACGUGCUACAAUGGCGCAUACAAAGAGAAGCGACCUCGCGAGAGCAAGCGGACCUCAUAAAGUGCGUCGUAGUCCGGAUUGGAGUCUGCAACUCGACUCCAUGAAGUCGGAAUCGCUAGUAAUCGUAAAUCAGAAUGUUACGGUGAAUACGUUCCCGGGCCUUGUACACACCGCCCGUCACACCAUGGGAGUGGGUUGCAAAAGAAGUAGAUAGCUUAACCUUCGGGAGGGCGUUUACCACUUUGUGAUUCAUGACUGGGGUGAAGUCGUAACAAGGUAAGCGUAGUGCU